rnacentral:rRNA from 1 species
CACGUAAUUAGCCGGUGCUUAUUCCUGCCCUACCGUCACCAUGCAGGCAUUUCCUCCUACACUUAUUCCUCGGACAGAAAAGAACUUUACAACCUUCCGGCCUUCUUCGUUCACGCGGCGUCGCUCCGUCAGGGUUCCCCCAUUGCGGAAUAUUCUUACCUGCUGCCUCCCGUAGGAGUCUGGGCCGUAUCUCAGUCCCAAUGUGUCCGUCCGCCCUCUCAGGCCGGAUACCCGUCCUCGCCACGGCGGGCCGUUACCCCGCCGUCCAGCUGAUGGGCCGCAGACCGUUCCCGGCGCGGAGCCGAAGCUCCUUUCCCGCUGUCUACCUUCCGUAUACAGUGAUCUAUCCGGUAUCACCCUCUAUUUCUACAGGCUGUCCCGGGCAUCGGGGUACGUUAUCCACGUGUUACUCACCAGUCCGCCGCUCUCGGCAUUGCUGCCUGCCGCUCGACUUGCAUGGUUAAGACGCGCCGCCAGCGUUCGUCUGAGCCAGGAUCAAACUCU